rnacentral:rRNA from 1 species
UACAGAGGGUGCAAGCGUUGCUCGGAAUUAUUGGGCGUAAAGGGCAGGUAGGUGGUCUCAUUUGUCUGGGGUGAAAUCCCGGGGCUUAACCCCGGAAGUGCCCUGGAAACGGUGGGACUUUGAGUCCUGGAGAGGCGAGCGGAAUACCCGGUGUAGCGGUGAAAUGCGUAGAGAUCGGGUGGAACACCAGAGGCGAAGGCGGCUCGCUGGACAGGCACUGACACUCAACUGCGAAAGCGUGGGGAGCAAACAGG